CACGUAGGGGCCAAGCGUUGUCCGGAUUUAUUGGGCGUAAAGAGCUCGUAGGCGGUUGGGCAAGUCACGUGUGAAAUCUCCACGCUCAACGUGGAGGCGCCACGUGAGACUGCCCUGACUCGAGUCCGGUAGGGGAGCGUGGAAUUCCCGGUGUAGCGGUGAAAUGCGCAGAUAUCAGGAAGAACACCCGUGGCUAAGGCGGCUCUCUAGUACGGUACUGACGCUGAGACGCGAAAGCGUGGGGAGCGAACAGG
rnacentral:rRNA from 1 species